rnacentral:rRNA from 1 species
UACGUAGGGGGCAAGCGUUGUCCGGAAUCAUUGGGCGUAAAGCGCGUGUAGGCGGCUCGAUAAGUCUGCUGUGAAAGUCCAGGGCUCAACCCUGGGAUGCCGGUGGAUACUGUCGAGCUCGAGUCCGGAAGAGGCGAGUGGAAUUCCUGGUGUAGCGGUGAAAUGCGCAGAUAUCAGGAGGAACACCGGUGGCGAAGGCGGGUCUCUGGGCCGAUACUGACGCUGAGGAGCGAAAGCCAGGGGAGCAAACGGG